rnacentral:tRNA from 1 species
GCCUGGGUGGCUCAGCGGUUGAGCGCCUGCCUUUGGCCCAGGGCGUGAUUCUGGAGUCCUGGGAUCAAGUCCCACGUCAGGCU